rnacentral:ncRNA from 1 species
AACAAAACCAUGACGGGGAAGAAGGUUGUGUAAAUUGCCCAGCGAGCCGGGGUUUGGUGCAAGCCCGGCCAAGGAAGCAGCCGGGCCGCCCCUGAGUGCAGGCCGAAACAACAGGGUUAACUUUCCUGCCGGUAAGUUAACCGGGAGUAAGCCUUGCCGGUGCUUCGCCGUUACAGAAGUCCGAGUGGGUUGCCGCGGCUGUGCCGCCGGUAACCAAUGAGGGUGGUACCACGGAUGUCAACUCCGUCCCUUUU